UACGUAGGGUGCAAGCGUUAAUCGGAAUUACUGGGCGUAAAGCGUGCGCAGGCGGCUGUGCAAGACAGGUGUGAAAUCCCCGGGCUUAACCUGGGAACUGCACUUGUGACUGCACAGCUGGAGUACGGCAGAGGGGGAUGGAAUUCCGCGUGUAGCAGUGAAAUGCGUAGAGAUGUGGAGGAACACCGAUGGCGAAGGCAGCCCCCUGGGCCGACACUGACGCUCAUGCACGAAAGCGUGGGGAGCAAACAGG
rnacentral:rRNA from 1 species